rnacentral:rRNA from 1 species
GCGUAUAUUAAAGUUGUUGCAGUUAAAAAGCUCGUAGUCGGAUUUCGGGCUCGGGCAGGCUGUCGGCCUCGGUCGGACGGCAGGCUCGGGCCUUUCUGCCUGGGGACUCCGUCACACUUAACUGUGGGGCGGUUGGACGCAGGCCGUUUACUUUGAAAAAAUUAGAGUGUUCAAAGCAGGCCUACGCUUGAAUACAUUAGCAUGGAAUAAUGGAAUAGGACUUUGGUGCUAUUUUGUUGGUUUAUGGGACCGAAGUAAUGAUUAACAGGGACAGUUGGGGCCGUUUAUAUUUCGUUGUCAAAGGUGAAAUUCUUGGAUUUACGAAAGAUAAACUUCUGCGAAAGCAUUCGGCAAGGAUGUUUUCAUUGAUCAAGAACGAAAGUUAGGGGAUCGAAGACGAUCAGAUACCGUCGUAGUCUUAACCAUAAACUAUACCGACUAGGGAUCAGUGGAUGUCAAUUUGCGACUCCAUUGGCACCUUGUGAGAAAUCAAAGUUUUUGGGUUCCGGGGGGAGUAUGGUCGCAAGGCUGAAACUUAAAGGAAUU